AUACUUACCUGACGAGGACCAUACUGGGAUCAGGCAGCCAGUGGGUCCAGGGCGAGGCUUUGCCAUUGCACAU
rnacentral:snRNA from 10 species